GGUCUCUGUCAGUCUCUGUUGUUUCUGUAUUCAUGGCUGAUUUUCCUCAGGACUGGUUUUUCUUCUCGUGGAUUUUUUGUUGUUGGACUUUGUAAAGGUUUUGAAAGAAAGGACCUCGGGUGGGAGAUAAGCACACCAUGGCUUGAUAAGAGGACGUCCUCCCCUGCAGCUCCGACUCGUCCUUGGACCUUUUACCACCUCCUCUUCUCCAACCCUCCGACGCUCAACCCCCCCCCCCCACCCCCACCCCACCAUCCAUUCCAGGCAGCUUGCGUCAAAAAAUUAGGUCCUCCAUUGGUAGUUGCUAUGGAAACUGUCAGCGCACAAUGCUCACUAACAACCCCGUGUCCUUCCCAGGAGCCCCGGACGUUGGAAGCUGACAAUCCUGAUAUUUAGCGGACUCUGGGGGAGAAUCCUAAUAUUUUUUAGCCGCCUCCAGUCUGCUAUAGAUUUAGCUGUUGCAGAGCGAAGAGUUCUGCAAAGAGCAGAGUAAAGUCACUGAAGCCGCAGAAAUAAACACCUCGAAACAACAGACAAAAAUUGCCUUUCCCUUUAGAUCAGUCUCCUCGCAGACAGUGUUGCCCUUUUUACUCGUGAACCCAAACUAAGGCACUAAAAGGCUUUUACAGUAAGCACCUGUGAUAAACAACCCUUUUUUUUUUUUUUUUUUUGCAGACAGGUUCCCAUAAAGGAAGCCGAGCUGAGAGCAAACACUGAUUAAACAAGAUGAAAAAAAAAAACAACAACGCAGAGCCGUGAAAGCUCAAGAUAAGGUUUUUAAAUUAGGGAUGAGUGUGGCGUUCCGAGUUCUGCUGAUUUAUUUGGAAAUGAGCAGAAAAUAGACCAUAAAUUUAGUCUAAUGAGGGGGAGAAGAGAGUUAUUCCACUAUUAAGUAGUUAGGAAUGAAUUUUAGAAGGAGAAAUAAAAAAAUAUAU